rnacentral:tRNA from 1 species
GCCCCGGUAGCUCAAUCGGAUGGAGCGUCGGAUUCCUAGUCCGACGGUUGGAGGCUUGAGUCUUCCCCGGGGUGCCA